rnacentral:rRNA from 1 species
UACGGAGGGUGCAAGCGUUAUCCGGAUUUACUGGGUUUAAAGGGUGCGUAGGUGGGUAGGAAAGUCAGUGGUGAAAUCUUCGGGCUUAACCCGGAAACUGCCAUUGAUACUAUUUAUCUUGAAUACUUUGGAGGUAAGCGGAAUAUGUCAUGUAGCGGUGAAAUGCUUAGAUAUGACAUAGAACACCAAUUGCGAAGGCAGCUCACUACACGUAUAUUGACUCUGAGGCACGAAAGCGUGGGGAUCAAACGGG